UACGUAGGGUGCGAGCGUUGUCCGGAAUUAUUGGCGUAAAGAGCUUGUAGGCGGUCUGUCGCGUCUGCUGUGAAAAUCCGGGCUCAACCCGGACUUGCAGUGGGUACGGGCAGACUAGAGUGUGGUAGGGGAGACUGGAAUUCCUGGUGUAGCGGUGAAAUGCGCAGAUAUCAGGAGGAACACCGAGUGGCGAAGGCAGGAUCUCCUGGGCC
rnacentral:rRNA from 1 species